GAGUAAAUUGCUUCUUGAAAUAGAAAGUGCUAUUACUUUUCAUCUGUUGAAGUGCAAUACAAAGGCCAAAUCUCCACCCAUUCUGAUGAACGUAACAUUCCUUCGGCUCUAUCUUAUAAAAAGGUGAGGUUGUGCUGGAGGAGAUCAGGACACUCCUUCAGCCUCCUUGGAAACAUCUCGUGACUGGCUGGAAGGAUGAAGCUCCUGACKCUUUGUGGUUUUUUGUUCGUCUGUCUUUUGUUCCUCAGUGUCUUCACUGCAGAAGGCCAGAAGGUUAGAAGAGUCUGCUGCUCAAAGGGACCCAAUCAGAAGAAAAAAAUUCAUAAAGGUGUAAAUUUCAAAAGGAUUCCAAUGGAAACAAGGAAACACUGCMGGCCUUGUCGUCAGCAAGCCCCUCCGUUUUCUGGACCCCUUCCAUAGUUAAAAUAGAAGACAGCAGACUGAGAAGAGGGUGGAAAGCAUCUGCCUACACGCACAACUCAAGUGCUUCAUUUGUUUGGUGGCCCUCUUUUCACAGAUUGSACAGGAGUGUAUAUUGCUUUUUGUUUGGGGAAAGACUUCAGUACUGUUGAUUCAUUCCUUCACUCAGGCACCUUUGUUGGUAUUAACCUGGCAGAAAGAGUAGGUAAAGUUGUCUGGCUGCCACCAGACUUCGUGUCAGUUGAAUAUUCCUCUGCACCAAACAGGAAUUUAGCUCCUUCAGUGAGAGGAGAGCUGGUUGAAGAGGUGGCUGAAUUGUGUUGGUGUGCAUUUCUAGAUUGCCUAAAAGGUGUAAAGGGGAUGAUGCUAUUGUUUCUGGUUAUCAGUAUACAUACAUAUUUAAUCUUUUU